UACGUAGGGUGCGAGCGUUAAUCGGAAUUACUGGGCGUAAAGCGUGCGCAGGCGGUUUUGUAAGACAGAUGUGAAAUCCCCGGGCUUAACCUGGGAACUGCAUUUGUGACUGCAAGACUAGAGUGCGGCAGAGGGGGGUAGAAUUCCACGUGUAGCAGUGAAAUGCGUAGAUAUGUGGAGGAACACCGAUGGCGAAGGCAGCCCCCUGGGCUAAGAUUGACGCUCAUGCACGAAAGCGUGGGGAGCAAACAGG
rnacentral:rRNA from 1 species